UCUAUCCAUCUUCUCCAUAGUUUUCUUCCCUCUGCAUAUUUCAUUUCCUUGAAUCGAAGGCAUAAAUCUCCAUUUCCAAUACCCUUUUCUUACUAAAUCGAAGUUUUAGAUAUGCACACCACAUGUUUGAUAAAAUGUUUUAGUGAGCAAUUGGAUCUCCAAAGCUUUCUCUCCAAAGAUAGCCCUCUUGACCACUUUUAGAUAUGUAUACCAUGUUUCUGAUAAAAUGUUGUAGUGGAAUGGGAAACUUUCUCUCCAAAGUUAGUCCUCUCUAUCAAUGACAUUUAGAUUGAUGCUUCCCUCUUUGGAAUAUAUGUUCGUGUGUCAUUGUUGACUAUUGUAGACUAAAGAAUAGGGGUUUCCCAUUCAUAUUGAUCACCAUUUAUAGCAGACCUCUUUUACUCUUCUGCCUUUAGAUUAGCGACUGCAUACUCUCUUUCUCACUCGAUAACCCAAAAUCAGAUCAAGACAUGGAUCGCAUUGCGUUGUUACAUGACACUUCAGUUGCACUUCACAGUCUGAAAGUGCAAGGGAAAGCUAUACCUGCUUUGCUUGAUUUGCAAGAGAAAUCGGAAUGAAAGUUGCUCCCAACAAAAUUAAUAAUCACACGUUUAUGAAGGAGUUAAAAGCUUCUCAUGUUAACAGCUUAGUGAGAAAUGUUUUAU
rnacentral:lncRNA from 1 species